rnacentral:lncRNA from 1 species
UUACAUAUUCUUGUAAUUUGCCAAUCUCUGAAUUCACUAUCCUUUUGAUGUGGGCUCGGCGAGUCAAGGAGUCGAAAGAAAGAUUUCUUGGACUCUCAAGGUCUGGCAGUAGUGCUCCUUUAUUCAGAGAAUAGCAUGGGGACAGGACCCAGGGGCAGUAAGAGCUGCAUGCAUGGGGACAGGACCCACGGGCAGUAAGAGCUGCAGGCAUGGGGACAGGGCCCAUGAGCAGUGAGGGGCUGCAAUGUGUUGAGGGUUAGGGCUAAAUUUAUAAGGCUUGGGUACAUGACUUAUUUUUACCAGACAAAGGAAAGAUGAUGUAAAAAGUCAUUAAAUGGAAUCAGUGCAGGUGGGGUCUGGUUAUUGUGUGGUCGUAUAACUUUAGAUAUGUAUUGGGUCGUAUAGAUCAGCAUGUAGGACAGGACACCGUGGGCUUCUCUACCUGGGGCAGCCUUGAUCCACAUCACUUUCACAAACAUUUUUGCCAACACAUUGCUUCCACUUUCUUCUGGAGGGAGAGAAUAGUAAUAAACCCACAUGAGGCCCAAAAUGUUCCAUCCUUGCUUAGCAAUAGUCAUUGGCCUUGGGGUCGGAGAAUGCUGGGUCGUGCAUCUGGCAAAGGAACUGUCUGAUUUGCUCUCUAAAUGUGUACGUGGGGAUUGUGCAAACCAACCCCCUCACUGAACACGCUUACCACCCUCUAGCUCAGCCCAUGCCUUCUCCAAGCACGGCUUUCCCCUGGGUGUUAG